rnacentral:tRNA from 1 species
CUCUGUCUAGCUCAGUUGGUUAGAGUGCUCAACCGGAAUCACAGAGCUGGUAAUUCGAUUCCUGUCAGAGG